rnacentral:rRNA from 1 species
GAUGAACGCUGGCGGCGUGCCUAAUACAUGCAAGUCGAGCGAACGGACGAGAAGCUUGCUUCUCUUAUGUUAGCGGCGGACGGGUGAGUAACACGUGAAUAACCUACCUAUAAGACUGGGAUAACUUCUGGAAACCGGAGCUAAUACCGGAUGAGAUUUUGAACCGCAUUGUUCAAAAGUGAAAGACGGUCUUUCUGUCACUUAUAGAUGGAUCCGCGCUGCAUUAGCUAGUUGGUAAGGUAACGGCUUAGCAAGGCAACGAUGCAUAGCCGACCUGAGGGCGAGGACGGCCACCCUGGAAGAGAGACACGGUCGACACUCUUACGGGAGGACGCAGUAGGGAAUCCUACGCGAUGGGGGAGAGGCUGACGGAGCAACGCCGCGUGAGUCAUGAAGGAGCGCGGAUGGGAAAACUAAGUUAUUAGGGAAAAAGAUAUGUGUAAGUAACUGUGACGAUAUUGACGGUACCUAAUAAGAAAGCCACGGCUAACUACGUG